UACGUAGGGUGCAAGCGUUGUCCGGAAUUAUUGGGCGUAAAGAGCUCGUAGGCGGUUUGUCGCGUCUGCUGUGAAAACUCGGGGCUCAACUCCGAGCUUGCAGUGGGUACGGGCUAGACUAGAGUGCGGUAGGGGAGACUGGAAUUCCUGGUGUAGGACGGUGGAAUGCGCAGAUAUCAGGAGGAACACCGGUGGCGAAGGCGGGUCUCUGGGACGGUACUGACGCUGAGACGCGAAGCGUGGGGAGCAAACAGG
rnacentral:rRNA from 1 species